rnacentral:rRNA from 1 species
ACUCCUACGGGAGGCAGCAGUGGGGAAUAUUGCACAAUGGGCGCAAGCCUGAUGCAGCCAUGCCGCGUGUAUGAAGAAGGCCUUCGGGUUGUAAAGUACUUUCAGCAGUGAGGAAGGUGGGUAUGUUAAUAGCAUACUCAUUUGACGUUAGCUGCAGAAGAAGCACCGGCUAACUCCGUGCCAGCAGCCGCGGUAAUACGGAGGGUGCGAGCGUUAAUCGGAAUUACUGGGCGUAAAGCGCAUGCAGGUGGUUUGUUAAGUCAGAUGUGAAAGCCCGGGGCUCAACCUCGGAAUUGCAUUUGAAACUGGCAAACUAGAGUACUGUAGAGGGGGGUAGAAUUUCAGGUGUAGCGGUGAAAUGCGUAGAGAUCUGAAGGAAUACCGGUGGCGAAGGCGGCCCCCUGGACAGAUACUGACACUCAGAUGCGAAAGCGUGGGGAGCAAACAGGAUUAGAUACCCUGGUAGAC